CCUCCGGUUCCCAAAGAGAGUUCCGGUCACUUUCCGGCCUAAUGACGGGGUUAUGGAGAGCUGGGUCGGAAGGGUUAGCCAUCGGCAAGUAGGGAGAAUUAUUGGGAAAGAGAUUAGGCUGAUCAGUGACCGGAGAAAGGUGGAUACGCCAAAACGGGUUUUGGAGAGGCGGUGGUGGAAGGCUGCCGGAGAUCCCUUUUUGACGAGGGGUUUGCCGGAGGAGAUAAUAUAGUGAUCGGCGGUGUCCGGAAUAUAAGAUGUUGAUCGCAUAUAAUUUGAAGGGAUGAUAUUCUUGCUGCUACUGCUACUUGUCCUGGGAAGUUCAAAUUUCAUGGUUUAAUUAAGAGAGAAAAUUGAGAGUACGUAGCUGAACGGAGAUAAUAAAAUGGUCGCCGGAGAGAGAAAGAGGGGCCGACAGAGUGAUAUUAUAGUAGUGUUGGAAAGAAGGUGGCAAUAAUUAAAAAGGUAAAGGGUGGAGGUUUGUGGCGAGUGCUUAUUA
rnacentral:lncRNA from 1 species